rnacentral:rRNA from 1 species
UACGUAGGCAGCAAGCGUUGUUCGGAAUUACUGGGCGUAAAGAGUGUGUAGGCGGUGUUCUAAGUUUGUCGUGAAAUCUCCCGGCUUAACUGGGAGGGUGCGGCGAAAACUGGAAUGCUAGAGGAUGGGAGAGGUAAGCGGAAUUCCUGGUGUAGCGGUGAAAUGCGUAGAUAUCAGGAGGAAUACCGGUGGUGUAGACGGCUCUCUGGACCGUAACUGACGCUGAGACACGAAAGCGUGGGUAGCAAACAGG